rnacentral:lncRNA from 1 species
AAGGUUGUCAGUCCUACAAAUCAAAGUCUGCAGCUAAAUCAGGUAUACCACCCCAGCUAGUUACCAGUAGCAGAUACGGUUUCAUGAAGGACCGGCUAACUAGCCAUAUUGAACUGUGGAGUGAGCCUGUGGCCCAAAGCUAGAAGCAGCCCAGGUGAAGCCUGCUCCUGCUUGAAGCUUUUCUACCAGACUGUCUCCAUUCUCCGGAUCUCAUGCAGCAUACAGUCUGAACAUGGGAAAAUAGAAGCCACUGAAUGCUGCAGUUGGACAAAGUUUAUUGCAAAUAAAUCUCAUUUCUUUUCAAA